rnacentral:rRNA from 1 species
GAUGAACGCUGGCGGCGUGCCUAAUACAUGCAAGUCGAGCGAACAGACGAGGAGCUUGCUCCACUGACGUUAGCGGCGGACGGGUGAGUAACACGUGGAUAACCUACCUAUAAGACUGGGAUAACUUCGGGAAACCGGAGCUAAUACCGGAUAAUAUAUUGAACCGCAUGGUUCAAUAGUGAAAGACGGUUUUGCUGUCACUUAUAGAUGGAUCCGCGCCGCAUUAGCUAGUUGGUAAGGUAACGGCUUACCAAGGCAACGAUGCGUAGCCGACCUGAGAGGGUGAUCGGCCACCCUGGAACUGAGACACGGUCCAGACUCCUACGGGAGGCAGCAGUAGGGAAUCUUCCGCAAUGGGCGAAGGCCUGACGGAGCAACGCCGCGUGAGUGAUGAAGGUCUUCGGAUCGUAAAACUCUGUUAUUAGGGAAGAACAAAUGUGUAAGUAACUAUGCACGUCUUGACGGUACCUAAUCAGAAAGCCACGGCUAACUACGUG